CCCAGACUCCUACGGGAGGCAGCAAUCGGGAAUAUUGCGCAAUGGAGGAAACUCUGACGCAGUGACGCCGCGUAUAGGAAGAAGGUCUUCGGAUUGUAAACUAUUGUCGUUAGGGAAGAAAAAGGACAGUACCUAAGGAGGAAGCUCCGGCUAACUACGUGCCAGCAGCCGCGGUAAUACGUAGGUGGCAAGCGUUAUCCGGAUUUAUUGGGUGUAAAGGGCGUGUAGGCGGGAAUGCAAGUCAGAUGUGAAAACUAUGGGCUCAACCCAUAGCCUGCAUUUGAAACUGUAUUUCUUGAGUGCUGGAGAGGCAAUCGGAAUUCCGUGUGUAGCGGUGAAAUGCGUAGAUAUACGGAGGAACACCAGUGGCGAAGGCGGAUUGCUGGACAGUAACUGACGCUGAGGCGCGAAAGCGUGGGGAGCAAACAGGAUUAGAUACCCGAGUAUU
rnacentral:rRNA from 1 species